GCCAUCAGGUUAAGCUGGGGACGUCUAAAGGAACUGCCUACGCAAGUAGUGAGGAAGGCGGGGAUGACGUCAAAUCAGCACGGCCCUUACGUCCAGGGCUACACACGUGCUACAAUGGCCGAUACAGAGGGCAGCUACCUGGUGACAGGAUGCAAAUCUCCAAAGUCGGUCUCAGUUCGGAUCGGAGUCUGCAACCCGACUCCGUGAAGUUGGAUUCGCUAGUAAUCGCGCAUCAGCCAUGGCGCGGUGAAUACGUUCCCGGGCCUU
rnacentral:rRNA from 1 species